UCUGAAGUUUCAGCUUGGACAGUUAUCUGAAGUUUAGCAACUUGAGGCAAGCGUUAUCAAGCAAAAACAUAUAAUGCAGAACAGCUUGCAGUAAAUAUUAUUCACCGAUUCAGUAACAAAAGAUAAUGCCAAAUGUCUGAUGCAGACAAGCUGUGCAGAUGGUUGUUUAGCUUUUGGACAAUGUAAUCUGAAAAUUGAGAAAACUGGAAGAGUUCAUGCUGAGACGAAGAUGGGCAUGUGUCAACAGCAGCUCCUUGAAAGAGCAUUAUGGUCUGAUCAAAAUUGCUGGACUUGAGUAUACACGAUGAAAUAACUAUUUUCCUGAAUUUCAUAUCAUUGCUUAAAAUAUUAUUUUCCUGAAUUUCAUAGUUUCAUUGCUCAAAAUAUGUUCCUUGGUAAUAUUAAUUAGUGUUACUGGAAAACUUUCAGUGCAGGAACAUGUAUAUCAGCUGGAGGGUCCACUUGUCUUCUUUUUUUUUUUCUUUUUUUAAGAAGUUGAAUCUUGAGAAGCCAUGUAUGAGGUUAACAAUCGUGGUUGCGGUGUCAUUGUUGAGCGUUUAGAUUUUGGUAACAGAACUUGCUGCAACUCUUGUCAUGUAUCAUGGUUAUCAUAGCUUCGUGUAAGUAUAUCAUUAUCUUGGGCCUCUAAAUGAAACUCCAAUAUUCUAGUGGUAAAACUGUUCAUCUUGGCUACUUCCAAAUCCAUUGUGAUGGUAAACUUUUUUCUUUACAGUCGUGCAAAUUAGUUCAACAUGCAAGCAAUAUAAGACAAGAUUUGCCGUACUGGUGCAUACCAUACCUUCCUGUACCGGUAUCAAAUUGAUACUUGGUACAGGGGGUGUACCAUGUGCCGAUAUGCUGAGUUAACCUGUAUCGAUAUUGUACCAACAUGGUUGCGGUAUGGGUACCAAAAUUGGUAUUGCAAACCUUGAGUGGAAAUUUCAUUUGGCACUUGACAGCCCAUUACUAU
rnacentral:lncRNA from 1 species